AUGGGUAAGAAGCUUGAUGCUCUCCUUGGUAGAACCUUCAAGGCUUCAAAGUUCAAGGCAACUGUUAACCUUGCCACCUCACGCAUAGCUGUUCUCAAGAACCAGCGCCAUGCUCGCCUUAGACAUGCACGUUCUGAUGUGCUUGAACUCCUCCAACUUGGUCACCAAGAACGAGCCUCACUUAGAGCUGAGCAUGUGAUAAAGGAUCAGAACAUGUUGGAUGUGUAUGACAUGAUUGAGGGAUACUGCAACCUCUUGAUUGAAAGGGUCCACCUCAUUGAACAAGAAAGAGAAUGUCCCGAGGAACUGAAGGAGGCAGCAUCUGGAUUACUCUAUGCAGCUUCUAGGUGUGGAGAUUUCCCAGAAAUUCAAGAGAUUCGCGGUGUUCUGACCACGCGGUUUGGCAAGGAAUUUGCUGCUCGUGCUAUCGAGUUGAGGAAUAACUGUGGAGUUCAUCCUCAGAUUAUACAAAAGAUGUCAACAAGGAUGCCAAGCUUGGAGAUCAGAAUGAAGGCACUCAAAGACAUUGCUUCUGAGAAUGGUAUUGUUCUGCAGCUUGAAGAAACUUCUGUGUCGGUUGAGGAACACUUCAAUUUGGAAAAGCAAAACCUGCAUGAACCUGAGAAAAAGGAAGAGAAUGCAAGCAUUUUGCCUAGUAGAGGGAAAGAUGAGGAGUUAACUGAUUCCUUUAAGGGCAGGCAAAAGUACAAGGACGUGGCUGAUGCAGCACAAGCAGCUUUUGAGUCAGCAGCAUAUGCUGCAGCUGCUGCAAGAGCAGCACUGGAACUCUCCCGAUCUGAAUCACAUGAUCCUGAUGAUCAUGAUAGUCCAAGCCCCCAACCAAGAAAAGUAGAGGAUGAUGGACAUGAUAAUGUGAGGCCUCCACCGGAAGAAAAUGAAAUCCUCAGUGAAACAGAAGAAGAAUUUGACAAGGAUAUAGAUGACAUAAAAAGGCCAAAAGACAUUAUAAGUUGCAAUUCAACCGAUGAGAUUUUGAAGGGGGCUGAAAUUGAUGCUGAUCCUUUGGAAAAGGAAAUAGUUUUUGAUGAAACUGAUGAAGAGACUGAUAAUGAACAUAAAAGAAAUCAAUCUUCUAAGACUUCUUCAGAGUAUGGUGCUGGAAUUGAGGUUGGUUCAGGUUCUAGGAAACUAGUAUUAAAUACAGUGGCAGGAUCCGAGAUGCAGAGCGUGCCUCAGUUGGAUUUGCAGAAGAGGCCAAUUUCAGUGAGGACAAGAUGAAUGCAAAAUUACUGAGUAAUGGGUGCAAGUAGCACGCAAUGUUGCAUUGCAUAUGAUUGAAGUUUUGCUGGUACCUUCUGGACAUGGACAUGGACAUGGGAAACAGGCUGAUAUUUGAUCAUACACGGAAAUAUAUGACUGUAGAAGAAACCUUAAAAAAUAAGAGAAUUCGAAGUUACAAAUUGAUCUUCAAUGGGAUCUCCUAUUUGACAUCAGGUUAAACCAAUUGUUAACUGAUAAGAACCUUGGGACUUGGGAGAACUAUACCACAAAAACUAGCUACAGUAACUGGAGAGGCCAAGGCCUUAUAUAUUUCAUACUAUAAUCUUAUACUUCCAAUGUGGUAUUCAACUCUCAAGAACUUUGAGAGAACCAUGCUAUAAAAACUAGUUGUUGUAAUUGAACAGUCCAAACCAAAGCCUCAAACCCCACGCUAAAAUCCCACAUACUUUCAAUUUCAAAAUGUGAAACUCAAGCCUCAUACUUUGGAUUGGAUCCCAACAUUAACCUUCUUAUAUUAUUUCUCAUAUCAGAUUGUCAAUUUGAAGCAUAAUACUAGACUAGGUUAUCAAAUGCAGAUUCUAAAUAAAAAUAAAAAUAGCUGGUUAAUUUGUGAACAGUGAAUUAUAAUUUACAUUGAAUCAUAAGAUUAGAGGUAAUGAAGAACAACUUCAAAUAUCGGAGUUA